GUGUUUUUGUUUUGACGUCAAUUUUAUAAUAAGUAACAUAUGCAGAAUGCUACAUGCAUAUAUAUGACAUGAGACUGGAAUGCUUAUCAAAUCACAGUCGCUGUUUAGUAUUCGACAAGUGUUAUUGAGGUUUUCCAGCUCAAGACCAGCGGAAUUCUCCGAUGUAAACAAGUGGAUAUCAAAGGUGGACAAUAUGCCGAGAAUAAAAGUCGAGAGGAAACUUCGCCAUGUGAAGUAUCGAGAGAGAAUGGGAGACAAGCUCAAGGCUCCUUCAUUCGUAAAUGUUGUUGUAAUCGGGAGUGGAGGGAGAGGUAGUCCACGCUCUGUCAUUAUUGAUACAAGCAUAUCUAAGAGAAUAUCACCAAGUCCUACAAAAACUUUACAGCUGCUUACACUACCAUUGCUCAACUAGAGAAAAGAGAACUGAGUGAGGGUGAUUUUUCCGACUCUGCAAUAAAGGUAGAGUACAUACCUCUAUACAACAGGGAGACACCAGGGGAUGCCACCAGUCGGGACCACACCAAGGAUGGAGAAGAGGCUGUUGCUGACGAGCCAGGUGAUUUUGACAAACCUGGCUUUAUUUACUGAUACAAGAGUAGCUCUUGCUGAAAUAAUAAUUGAUGAU